GAUCUGGUAUGCGUCACCAACGUCUGAGCAGAGAAACACGACCAAACAGUAUGAAAAAAGAGUGCUGUGAGCUUGUCAAUUAAUGAGGUUAUUGAUUAGCUGAAAUGCUAGCACCUGGUUGCCACUUGCCAGGUGGUAAUUCAAGAUGGCUGCCAGUGUAGCAGAAAACUUCUCCGCUCAGAUGGCUUAUAGACGGGGGCAGGGACUGGCAGCAUGGUCCCAGCCUCAGAGAAGAGGACAGGAGUAUUCAGACCUCCAGGACACAUACCUCCUCCAUGGGGAGCCUAGCCCACCUCUCAGUGACCUGUCUCUCCAUGCCUCCUGGUGGACCGGCAGGGACGAGCACAAUGAG